rnacentral:lncRNA from 1 species
GGAGCCUGUUGCAUCAAGGCCUGGGGUGGCAGGUGCUUUCCCAGGGGCUGUCUGCUAUGUGCCUGUGCCAGCCCCUUGUCCUGCUGGGCUCUGCCCAGGGAGCAGGGCAGCCCAGGUCUCCCAAAACUCUGCCCUGCAGGCUUCACACAUACCCAGCCGCCAUGUCUGCAUUCCACAUUAUUAGCAGGAUUGUGCUCAGGACUGCGGGAGGCAGCGGUUCUUGUCCAAGAGGGUGUUAUGGAUUUGCGGCAGGGGACCUGUGGCAGUUGGUACUUGAUGAUGAUUACUGCAUCCAAAGAUGCACAAAUGGUAGCUGCCUAUUCCCAGAGUUGGGUGUCACCCCGAGCAGCCCAUCUGCUUUGAUGAUGCUUUAAGGACAACACCGUCAAACCCAUACUGGUCCCCAUGAGAUGCAGCUGUCCUGCAAGAAGUAUCCUCAGACAGUGUGGCAAAGCUCACACAGACUCUCCCAGGAUGAGAGAGGAGUGAUGUCACCAUGAAUAUCCCUGUUGUUGCUUAGACUGACAAUCUCUCUCCCUUGCUCAUAAUUUCUUUUAAAAUUUAAGUACUGGCUGAAUACCCUUGAUAAUUUUAGUAUCCAGGUUAGAAGCCCCAUGACAUUCUGCAGGGAAUGAAGGGGCAAAAAGAGAUGCUCCAACCGACUUU